CUCAGAGAACCCCAUUUCAAAUUAUUUCUGCCUCGAACAUGCAAGCCUGCUUGACUAUUACCCUUUGCCUGUGUACAACAUGUUUGGUCUGUCUCUAAUAGCCACUCCUUUCCUUCAGAAUGUCUGAUAUAAGUGAGAGCAUCAAGGACGCAGUCAUUUCUGUCCUGCCAAGUGUGCCAGAAGAAACGAUCUUACACCAGGGAGUGGAAAGCAAAGAUGACUUGCAGUACAUAAGAGAACAGGAAAUUGCAGAGGUUAAUCGACCAAUCCAGUGCAGAAAACAUUUAAAUGCAUGGAAAUGAGCAGAAUGUCUGAUAUAAGUGAGAGCAUCAAGGACGCAGUCAUUUCUGUCCUGCCAAGUGUGCCAGAAGAAACGAUCUUACACCAGGGAGUGGAAAGCAAAGAUGACUUGCAGUACAUAAGAGAACAGGAAAUUGCAGAGGUUAAUCGACCAAUCCAGUGCAGAAAACAUUUAAAUGCAUGGAAAUGAGCAGAAUGUCUGAUAUAAGUGAGAGCAUCAAGGACGCAGUCAUUUCUGUCCUGCCAAGUGUGCCAGAAGAAACGAUCUUACACCAGGGAGUGGAAAGCAAAGAUGACUUGCAGUACAUAAGAGAACAGGAAAUUGCAGAGGUUAAUCGACCAAUCCAGUGCAGAAAACAUUUAAAUGCAUGGAAAUGAGCAGAAUGUCUGAUAUAAGUGAGAGCAUCAAGGACGCAGUCAUUUCUGUCCUGCCAAGUGUGCCAGAAGAAACGAUCUUACACCAGGGAGUGGAAAGCAAAGAUGACUUGCAGUACAUAAGAGAACAGGAAAUUGCAGAGGUUAAUCGACCAAUCCAGUGCAGAAAACAUUUAAAUGCAUGGAAAUGAGCAGAAUGUCUGAUAUAAGUGAGAGCAUCAAGGACGCAGUCAUUUCUGUCCUGCCAAGUGUGCCAGAAGAAACGAUCUUACACCAGGGAGUGGAAAGCAAAGAUGACUUGCAGUACAUAAGAGAACAGGAAAUUGCAGAGGUUAAUCGACCAAUCCAGUGCAGAAAACAUUUAAAUGCAUGGAAAUGAGCAGAAUGUCUGAUAUAAGUGAGAGCAUCAAGGACGCAGUCAUUUCUGUCCUGCCAAGUGUGCCAGAAGAAACGAUCUUACACCAGGGAGUGGAAAGCAAAGAUGACUUGCAGUACAUAAGAGAACAGGAAAUUGCAG